rfam:Steinernema glaseri strain NC unplaced genomic scaffold GLAS_2137, whole genome shotgun sequence.
GCACGGAUGGCCGAGUGGUCUAAGGCGCCAGACUCAAGCGAGAGCUUAACGCGAGCAGAGCGUUCUGGUAUCGGUAUCGAUGCGUGGGUUCGAAUCCCACUCCGUGCA